rnacentral:rRNA from 1 species
UACGUAGGGGGCAAGCGUUAUCCGGAAUCACUGGGCGUAAAGGGUGCGUAGGCGGCCAAUAAAGUCAGAGGUGAAAGGCUACGGCUCAACCGUAGUAAGCCUUUGAAACUGUCAGACUUGAGUUAAGGAGAGGAAAGUGGAAUUCCUAGUGUAGCGGUGAAAUGCGUAGAUAUUAGGAGGAACACCAGUGGCGAAGGCGACUCUCUGGACUGUAACUGACGCUGAGGCACGAAAGCGUGGGGAGC